rnacentral:rRNA from 1 species
GACGUAGGGGGCAAGCGUUGUCCGGAAUUAUUGGGCGUAAAGCGCUCGUAGGUGGAUCGAAAAGUCUGUGAGGAAAUACCUGGGCUCAACUCAGGAACCCGUGCGGAUACUUUCGAUCUUGAGGCAAUCAGAGGAUGAUGGAAUUCCCGGUGUAGCGGUGAAAUCCGUAGAUCUACGAAGGAACGCCAAAAGCGAAGGCAGCUCUCUGGGUCCCUACCGACGCUGGGGUGCGAAAGCAUGGGGAGCGAACAGG